rnacentral:lncRNA from 7 species
GAUAUAGUAUUUUUAGACAAAAUAUAUAUCAAGUUUUGUGUAGCAGUUUUAGACAUGCCAAAUACAGUGCAAAUGCAUAGCAAGUCAUUGGAAAGGAUAGGAAACAAAGCCGAGAGGAACAUAGAAAAUAAAAUGGAGCCAAGUUUCUAAAAAGCUUCACACAAAUAUACAUAUUUCUAAAAAAACUUCACACGUUCGACAUGACAUCCUCUAGAUGCCACCUCUCUCAGCACUUUCCUGAAACCAACAGACAUUCGUAAGGAAUAAAUCAAAAUUUAAAUAGCACUUUGUUUAUUUACAAUAGAAAUCUCAGUGCAGGGCAGCAAUGUAUUAAAAAAUAAGAAUACAAGCUCAAAUAAGGAGAAGAUAAAAUGGAGUCAAGUCAACACAUUCAUACUUAUCAAUUUUUCACGGACGAUGGAAUUGAAAGUUUGAACAGAACUUAAAUUACUAAGAUUUUAGUGAUCUCCACAAUAUGGGAUAUAUAGAUCAAUAGAUAACAACAUAAUGCAUGAUGCAGACCUAAUGCUCAAAGGACCGACAAAUGUCAAAGAAGCACAACAACAGAGCUCCAUCAAAAUCACAAGGUAAGUAGAAUGCAACUGUGUAGCAUUUUUUAACAGAAAGUGUAUCCAAAAAAGGAGGAC